rnacentral:lncRNA from 10 species
CUGAUUCUCCGGGUUGCAUGCUCCUCCCUGGCAUUGCUGAGUGCCCAGCACUGUGCUCCAGGGACCUGCCUGGGGAGGGGAAGCCCUUCUCAUUCAUUCACCCCACAGGGCGUGACUGUGCGCUGGCCACACAGACAGAUAGCGCCAGCUGGCCUCGGGACGCCCACAGGUCCCUGGAGCCAGUGACUGAGGACUGUGGUCCAUCAGCAGGCAUAGUCAGGCUGUGUCUUCAAACUAAAUCCAGACGCUGACCGGUUCCGUCACCUGCACCGCCGCCUCCCUGGCUCACACCCGCGUCCUCUCCACUCUGGGAUGCUGCCAGUCUCCUGCGGCAGUUUUAAAAGGUGGCUGUGCAUGUCUUGCAGCUCCUCCUUGACAGGUGUGGUCGAAUCCCCUUCCCCUUGAAUCUGAGCCGGCCUUGAAGCCUGGCUUGGAACCAGUCGCCAGUCGCAUGUAGCUGGAGAGCAGCUGUGUGACGUUCAGGGCUAGGUCCGAAGACGCCUGGCAGCUGCUGUGUUGGUCUUUGGGAACAUGGAGCGCCCAGGCUCCUUCCUGCAAUGCUGCCCCCAGACCUCGAGCUGUGAGAAGCUCCAGCCCCAGGCAGAGGCCCAUGGUGGGUGCUCCCGUUCUCGGCCCCACGAACUUCCCAUCUGAUGAGCAGGAGAGCUGCCCGCCACGUGACUGUGCCACUGUGGACAUCAAGCUCAGACGAGACUUCAGAUGACCACAACCCCACUGGACACCUGGCUGGAACCGCGGGAGGGACCCCAAGCAAGAACCGGCCCCUCGAGCCUUUCCCGAACUCUUGACCCACAAAACAGCGACCCACUAAAAAAGAUGGGUGAUUCUCAACCACUGUGCGUUGAGGAGUCACAGCAGACCAGCCUCCCUGUGUCCAACCCGGAGCCCCUGCCGGCUAUUUAACCCUGAAACCGGGGGGCAGCCACUGUUUAAUCCUGAAGCUGGGGGGCAGCCACUGUGUAACCCCAAAGCCAGCAGGGCGGCCACUGUGCUUCGAGGAGUCGCAACAGACCAGCCUUCCUGUGUCCACGCUGGAGACCCUGCCGGCUGUUUAACCUCGAAGCCAGGGGAGUCCUGUGAAUCCUGUACAACGUCCGUGGGAUUGCACCUCCUCCGUUGAAGACCCAACACUGGACUUGUCUCACGCAGAAUAAAGCCGAAAUCCCCACCAUAGCCUGGGGUCAACAGGGGCUGCCACCCCACCCCGAAGGGCUCAGGUCCCUCCCUCUGCUGUGUGGGGGUGGAGGGGAGAGGUGGAGGCUGUGCUCACGGGGAGCCCAAUCAGAAGGACUCCGCAUCUUGAGGCUAGAAGCGGGCGACGGCGAGGGAGGCCCCAGCAUGGUGCCUGGGCCUUGGAUUUGGGACCCGGGGUUGGGGUGACCCAUUUGCCGAGUGCCCCUUGAGGUGACAGCAUCAUCGAGGGAGGUUUCUUUUGGGACAAGAAGGAGGACGCAGGCCCUUCACAGCCGCAGGAGCAGGCCCGCCCCCAGGCUGUGCUGCUGGAUAUUAAAGCUGCCACCGUCUGGGCUGGAAAAGUGCCGAUGAGAACACUUCCUUUAAUGAGUCCAGCUUCGGAGAACAGCCCAGACUGUGGCUCCCCGUGGAACCCAAGACCAUGGGAGGUUGCAAAAGCUGCCGACAAAGCGCAAUAAAGCCGGUGACCUCAGAUACAGAGUUUAUCCUCUCACCAUCCCGGAGGCCAGAAAUGCCAGACCAAGGUGCCGGUGGGCCGUGCUCCCUCAGGAGGCCUUGGCGAGGCUCCCUCUUGGGGCCCCAGGUGUUCCUGGGCUUGUGGCUACAUUGCUCCCAUCCCUGCCUCAGUUGUCACAUUCUCCCCAGGUGCCUGUGUCUUCUAACAAGGACAUCAGCCAUUGGAUGAAGCCACCUUAAAUCCAGGAUGACUUCAUCGUAACUUACUGACAUCAGCAAAGACCCUAUUUCCAAAUACGGUCACAUUCACAGCUGCAGCUGGUUAGGACUUGAACAUGUAUUUUGGGGGGACACAAUUCCACCCACAGCAAUCCCCCUUGGUCCCCACUCAGCCCAGGUGAGAGCCAACCGGCACCUGCACAGCUGAAGCCAUGGUCCCCACCCCACCUUUGGUCCCCACAUCACGUGGAAAGCUCACGUGCAGGGGCUCUGCUGUCCAUGAACUCUCCUCACCUAGUCCUCGCCACAACUCCAGGCCCCAACGCAAAAGCAUGGCAGGUCUGCCUGGCCCAGAAGCCCCCUGUCCCCAACAUUGUUCUGCCAGCCCCAGGGAGGGCUUCCUGAUGUGCCACCAGGGUCCUUCGGCCUGGCAGGCUGAAGCCGGGGCCGGCUGUCACUGCCGCUGUCCUGGAUAGCCUCGUGGGCCUCCCCUGUGGUAAGCCAGGGGCUGUCUCGUUGCCCAGUAAGCCCUGGCUGCCCUCCCCUCCACAGGCUGGGCAGGCAACAGAAAAGCAGACUUCAGGAGCAAAAGGCGGAGGCCCCAGACCCCAGCUCUCCCAGAGCAGAAUGGAGCAGAAGGGACGGGCCGGUCCUUUAUCCCCUGGAGCCAGGCUUCCUGCCUCAGAAAUGCUUGGGGCUGCCCUCACACCACGCUGGGCAGCUUCAGGAGACACCGUGUGAUCACCUGGUGCUGGGGAACUCGCAGGCAUCAGCCCCUCCACUCCUCCCCAUUGGGGAAAGGGAGGAGAUGGGGCCCAAGGCAAGGGACCCAGGACAGGGCUUUGCAGGAGCACCCAAGCUUCAUGGGGCGAUUUCAUCAGUCACAUAGGAAUGCCAGCUGCGACGCCCACACACUGGAGACCCAGCAAACGAAGCAGGCCCGGACACUGGCAUGGAAUUCUGACACAUCAGGGUACAACCACCAAAUUGGAAAGGUCAUAAAAUAUUAAAGCUGUUGAUGGAGAGAAAAUAUUGAAGAUUUCAUCAGCAGUUUCUUGCCCUAUUUCAAUGAUAUUAACUUUUUAAUUAAAAUUGACGCUCAAGACUUUCCAACAGAGGGAAGUUUCACUUCUUAACCUAGAGGGAGCCGCA